rnacentral:rRNA from 1 species
AUGAGGCGCGCAGGGAGCCUUCUUCUCCUGCUGCUUCUGCUCUCCCUGUCUGCCUCCACCGCCGAAGCACACAACAAGGAGAGCUCGGGCGACAACGCGGUGCCCUUGACCGGCCGGAGAUGGCACCUGAGAGGACGGAGGGCAAUGGCGGCCCGAGGGCAUGGAGCAGCGGGGAGGGAUGAGGCCGUGGGCGCCAGCAACACAGGUGCAAACCCUGCCCGUGCCCGCGGAGGGAAGAAAAGCGUAGAGGUUACCGUUGUCGGGUUAGGCGGUGAGAGCGCCGGGCCAAGGAGGAGUGGCGGCGGCAGGCGCGAGUUUGACGGCCAAGUGCCGCUCCAUUCCGAUUACCGCACUCCCAGGGAGCAAGUCAAGAAGCAGAUCAGGCGUCUGCUGAAUUUGUACAUGAUGAGGCAAGUUCAGCAGCCGCACGCUUUACAUGAUUCAGCAUUACAGGCAUUAUUUGCACGUCACACUGGCCACAUCACAGUCGACACACAACUUCAGUUCCUGCCAUGUGCUGACGGCUGCGGUUUCAUUUCCAGGGUAAACGGAGCAAGAGGCCAGCUGCUCGGCCCAUGCUUCAGGGAGCAAGCGGCCAUCGACAUCGUCACCACGGCGGCGACGCGGCCGCCAUGGCGUCCGACGUGCUGA